rnacentral:rRNA from 1 species
UACGAAGGGUGCAAGCGUUACUCGGAAUUACUGGGCGUAAAGGGCGUGCAGGCGGUCUGUUAAGUGCAGGGUGAAAGCUCCCGGCUCAACUGGGAGAGGUCCUUGCAUACUGGCGGACUUGAGGGGGGUAGAGGAAAGUGGAAUUCCCGGUGUAGUGGUGAUAUGCGUAGAUAUCGGGAGGAACACCUGUGGCGAAGGCGGUUCUCUGGGACGGUACUGACGGCUGAGACGCGAAAGCGUGGGGAGCGAACGAGG